rnacentral:rRNA from 1 species
AUUGAACGCUGGCGGCAGGCUUAACACAUGCAAGUCGAGCGGGGUGAUGGUGCUUGCACUAUCACUUAGCGGCGGACGGGUGAGUAAUGCUUAGGAAUCUGCCUAUUAGUGGGGGACAACAUCUCGAAAGGGAUGCUAAUACCGCAUACGUCCUACGGGAGAAAGCAGGGGAUCACUUGUGACCUUGCGCUAAUAGAUGAGCCUAAGUCGGAUUAGCUAGUUGGUGGGGUAAAGGCCUACCAAGGCGACGAUCUGUAGCGGGUCUGAGAGGAUGAUCCGCAACACUGGGACUGGGACACGGCCCAGACUCCUACGGGAGGAAGCAGUGGGGAAUAUUGGACAAUGGGGGGAACCCUGAUCCAGCCAUGCCGCGUGUGUGAAGAAGGCCUUAUGGUUGUAAAGCACUUUAAGCGAGGAGGAGGCUCUUUUGGUUAAUACCCAAGAUGAGUGGACGUUACUCGCAGAAUAAGCACCGGCUAACUCUGUGCCAGCCGCCGCAGUAA